rnacentral:rRNA from 1 species
GCUUACGGCCACACCGGCCUGAGUACGCCUGAUCUCGUCCGAUCUCGGAAGCUAAGCAGGGUCGGGCCUGGUUAGUACUUGGAUGGGAGACCGCCUGGGAAUACCAGAUGCUGUAAGCU